UACGGAGGGGGCUAGCGUUGUUCGGAAUUACUGGGCGUAAAGCGCACGUAGGCGGAUUGCUAAGUCAGGGGUGAAAUCCUGGAGCUCAACUCCAGAACUGCCUUUGAUACUGGCGAUCUCGAGUCCGGGAGAGGUGAGUGGAACUGCGAGUGUAGAGGUGAAAUUCGUAGAUAUUCGCAAGAACACCAGUGGCGAAGGCGGCUCACUGGCCCGGUACUGACGCUGAGGUGCGAAAGCGUGGGGAGCAAACAGG
rnacentral:rRNA from 1 species